AUCAGCCUCGGUCUCGUGGGCUCGGAGAUGUGUAUAAGAGACAGAUGCUGUGAGGCAUGCUGGAGGUAUCAGAAGUGCGAAUGCUGACAUAAGUAACGAUAAAGCGGGUGAAAAGCCCGCUCGCCGGAAGACCAAGGGUUCCUGUCCAACGUUAAUCGGGGCAGGGUGAGUCGACCCCUAAGGCGAGGCCGAAAGGCGUAGUCGAUGGGAAACAGGUUAAUAUUCCUGUACUUGGUGUUACUGCGAAGGGGGGACGGAGAAGGCUAUGUUAGCCGGGCGACGGUUGUCCCGGUUUAAGCAUGUAGGCGGAACGAUUAGGUAAAUCCGGUCGUUUAUUAACGCUGAGGUGUGAUGACGAGGCACUACGGUGCUGAAGUAACAAAUGCCCUGCUUCCAGGAAAAGCCUCUAAGCAUCAGGUAACACGAAAUCGUACCCCAAACCGACACAGGUGGUCAGGUAGAGAAUACCAAGGCGCUUGAGAGAACUCGGGUGAAGGAACUAGGCAAAAUGGUGCCGUAACUUCGGGAGAAGGCACGCUGAUAUGUAGGUGAAGCCCCUGCGGGUGGAGCUGAAAUCAGUCGAAGAUACCAGCUGGCUGCAACUGUUUAUUAAAAACACAGCACUGUGCAAACACGAAAGUGGACGUAUACGGUGUGACGCCUGCCCGGUGCCGGAAGGUUAAUUGAUGGGGUUAGCGGCAACGCGAAGCUCUUGAUCGAAGCCCCGGUAAACGGCGGCCGUAACUAUAACGGUCCUAAGGUAGCGAAAUUCCUUGUCGGGUAAGUUCCGACCUGCACGAAUGGCGUAAUGAUGGCCAGGCUGUCUCCACCCGAGACUCAGUGAAAUUGAACUCGCUGUGAAGAUGCAGUGUACCCGCGGCAAGACGGAAAGACCCCGUGAACCUUUACUAUAGCUUGACACUGAACACUGGUCCUUGAUGUGUAGGAUAGGUGGGAGGCUUUGAAGCGUGGACGCCAGUCUGCGUGGAGCCAACCUUGAAAUACCACCCUUUAAUGGCUGGUGUUCUAACGUAGACCCGUUAUCCGGGUUGCGGACAGUGUCUGGUGGGUAGUUUGACUGGGGCGGUCUCCUCCCAAAGAGUAACGGAGGAGCACGAAGGUUAGCUAAUCCUGGUCGGACAUCAGGAGGUUAGUGCAAUGGCAUAAGCUAGCUUGACUGCGAGAGUGACGGCUCGAGCAGGUGCGAAAGCAGGUCAUAGUGAUCCGGUGGUUCUGAAUGGAAGGGCCAUCGCUCAACGGAUAAAAGGUACUCCGGGGAUAACAGGCUGAUACCGCCCAAGAGUUCAUAUCGACGGCGGUGUUUGGCACCUCGAUGUCGGCUCAUCACAUCCUGGGGCUGAAGUAGGUCCCAAGGGCUGUCUCUUAUACACAUCUGACGCUGCCGACGAAGAGGAUAGUGUAGAUCUCGGUG
rnacentral:rRNA from 1 species